ensembl:snRNA U6 U6 spliceosomal RNA
GUGCUUGCUUCGGCAGCACAUCUACUAAAAUUGAAUGAUAGAAGAUUAGCAUGGCUCCUGCGCAAGGAUAAUACGCAAAUUUGUGAAGCGUUCCAUAUAAAA